GAGACACCAGGUCAGGCGGGGCUACCCGCUGAGUUUAAGCAUAUCAAUAAGCGGAGGAAAAGAAACUUACGAGGAUUCCCUUAGUAACGGCGAGCGAACCGGGAACAGCCCAGAUUGAGAAUCCGGCGCCUCAGGUGCCGGAAUUGUAGUCUGAAGAAGCGUCCUCAGCGGCGGACCGGGCCCAAGUCUCCUGGAAAGGGGCGCCAGAGAGGGUGAAAGCCCCGUCGUGCCCGGACCCUGUCGCACCACGAGGCGUUUUCGUCGAGUCGGGUUGUU
rnacentral:rRNA from 1 species